CCUUUAGUGAUUAUCUUGUAGUAAAAAUAGAAAACAAAAGUUAAAAUAAAAGAAAGAUGUAAUGCGAAACCAAAUUAGUUCUUCCCUGUUACAGGGCCUGAUGUAAGGCCGAGCACGUUACAGAAAGUCAGGAUCUUGACGAAAAGCAGGGUUAGGAAAGUUAAACCAGGAUAAGACGGGUAAAGCCAGAUCACCCGACGCAAAACCUGAAAACCUGAGGUCACGCCAGGCAGGAGAAAUGCCAUAAAGCAGGGUCAGGUGAAGUAAAGCAAAGUCAGCUUAGGUAAAGCCUGGGAGGUGCCGUAAAGCAUUGUCAAGUGACGUAAAAUAGGGUAAAAAGACGUAAAAGCCUGGGAAAUUAAUGUAAACAAAGCCUGGUAGUGCGGUAAAGCAUUGUCAACUGACGUAGAGCAGGGUAAAGUGUCAUAAAGCAGGGUCAGGUGACGUAAAUGCCAGAAAACUGAGGUAAAGUCUGGGGACCCUUGUAUUUAGUUCUAGUUAUGUUACAAAAGCUGGGCACAUGACGUUCGGCCCGAGGACCGGACAUAAAGAGGAAAUGUGAAAUAAAGCUGUGGCACCAGCUAUAAAGCCGGGAACCUGAGGGGAAGCCAGCUGCCAUGUCAUGAGGCAGGUGAAGAGUGUCUCAAGGCAAAACACUGAGUUCUGCCAAGAGCCAAGUGAUCAGAUCUUCUGAGGAGAAAUUUGAAUUUAUCUAUGCAAGUGUUCCUGUUCUGAGGAGUAAUCAGUGUUCUGUGAAACUUCCGCAGAAGUUACUUGCAGGCAAAAGAGAGGACCCCGGUACCAACGCGGAACAUCUGUCCAGGAGACAAUCAAUAACUUGUCCAAAGAGUGCCAGCUCGCUGGUUGCUGAGCUGGGAUCGCAGUCCCGUUCGCUUUCUCCGCACUGUAGCCCCGAGCUUUGCCUUGCAUCGGACCCAUCUCACUUCUUUGCUGUCGACCUGGGUGUGUAGCUUCCUGGCCCGUGAACCUCCACGUGAGGAUGGGGAGGGUCAAAGGAGAGCCGCCCCGAGCCGUGAGGGUGAGGAACUAGGUCAGGGUUAAGGGGAAGCUGCCUUUGCUUAGUCUGCUCUGUGUACAAAGGUGGUCACUUACAUCCACGUCUUUAAACAUUUUAUAGCCUAAUGACUACAUGGUUGCUGAUGUGAGCAUUUUAAACCUUCAUUUUCUUGGUUACAGGGAAGCUUGGAGAAUGACUCUGUUUGUCUCCAUCAAUGGUUCCCUUCAAACUCAUAGGCCGGUGUGGAUCAUUUGUCAUUUUUUUACACAGUAGCUUUCUUCUCAUUAUGACAAAAGUACACGCUUAAUGUAGAAAAUUUGGGGAAA